GGAACCCGCUCCUCCAUCUGGUUCUCUUGGCUGUCAACGGAUCACCUUCACGCCGCUGCUGCUCGGAUCCCUCUCCGCUCCGCCGGACCGCCCACCUGCCUCUCAGUCAUCUGCGGGAGGCUGCCUCUGUGCCCGUCUUUCCACGCCACUCCCCCCGGCUCAGUUCCUGCGCUACGCGAUUUCACUCGCUUCCUCCGUACAGUCCCCUCAAACAAUCCACGUUGAUGCUCCUUGUCUUGCACGUUUAACAAUAAACUUCUAAACCUGC